rnacentral:piRNA from 1 species
UAAGAAAUCCCAACCUGUCACCUACUUAAG